rnacentral:lncRNA from 1 species
AAUAGUGAAACAAAUUAGCAAUAGGGCCACCAAGAGACUACAGCCAACCCUAAUUCAGAGAUGUCUCAGUUGAUCAGUUUUCUGUCAAUCACUAAAACAAGAAAGGUGAAACAUGCAAUUAUAUACAAGGAGACAGAACUCCUAAUUCUUCCCUCCUAGCUGAAGCAUAAGAGCUCUAAUUUCUUGGAGAAAUAAGAUUUUUGUUUU